rnacentral:rRNA from 1 species
GACGAACGCUGGCGGCGUGCUUAACACAUGCAAGUCGAGCGGUAAGGCCCUUUCGGGGGUACACGAGCGGCGAACGGGUGAGUAACACGUGGGUGACCUGCCUUUAGCUCUGGGAUAAGCCUGGGAAACUGGGUCUAAUACCGGAUACGACUCCGCGGUGCAUGCUGUGGGGUGGAAAGCCUUGUGCGGCUGGAGAUGGGCCCGCGGCCUAUCAGCUUGUUGGUGGGGUGAUGGCCACCAAGGCGACGACGGGUAGCCGGCCUGAGAGGGCGACCGGCCACACUGGGACUGAGACACGGCCCAGACUCCUACGGGAGGCAGCAGUGGGGAAUCUUGCGCAAUGGGCGAAAGCCUGACGCAGCGACGCCGCGCGAGGGAUGACGGCCU